rnacentral:lncRNA from 7 species
GCAACUACACCCAAAAGGCUUUAUGAGAACUUGUUUGUGACAGAAGAGGAAUGGAGACUGCCAGACUGUGUGCAUAAAUCCUUUAGAUUCUCUUGAGAUUUUAGUUAUGCUCGUUAUUAUGGUGAUUCUUACCUGGAAUUUCAAGGCUUGCAUUUAAAUGUGCAAAACUUCAUCCACUUGGAAUUUAAGACCUAUAAACCUGAUGGACUACUCCUAUAUAUUGAAGAGAGCUCGGAAACAAUAGGGCAGUUUUUAAUUCAGCUUUUUAUCAGACAUGGCAUCUUACAGUACCAGUUUGUAUGUGGUAAAGCAACACAAGUCAAAAACAUCACAACUACUGCUAGAGUGGAUGAUGGACAGUGGUAUAAAGUGCAGAUUAGAUGUUAGGAAUUGUGAACAAACAUCAUGGGUCAUUAAAAAAAGAAGAAAAGCAACAAUGAUCCUGUACUAUUUUGUUGAAAUAAACUUUUCAUUCUUGUUAUUAAGUAUUGCUAAUUGUUUGGAGCACCUUUGAUUUGGAGCUGUGAUAGAAGGAUUUUUGACAAAAUUGCUAAAUGCAAAACAUUUUAGUUACUGAAGAUAAGCCAUCUGCAAACAAUAUGCUGCCUCUAUAGUGUCAAAUUUAACAAAACAAAUAGAAUUAAAAGUAGUAUUCUGUAAUACAAGUUGAAGCAUGCUGGAAGUUAGUGAUGGUAUCUUCCUUUUCUGAUUACAAGUAUUUUACUGCCUCCUUUAUCCCACAGAGAUCAUUACUUUUGUUCGUACCAGCAAUGUUACAACUUUUAAUGUUUGCAAAUAAACAUGCAUAUUACUGUCAGGCGCUGCUCUCUAUCCAGUCCUCAUAGUUCACCAGAACAUUCAUGCUGAAAGUGAAAUAGCAGCAUUGCUGAAAUGAAUUUUUCAUGAUGAUGGAGUAUUGUGGCUACUCAACUGUAACGAUUGAAAAAAGUUGGAUGAAAUAAGAGGACAGGAUUUUCAUCACAGAUCUUGGAAAGAUUGAUAAUUUCAGAUAGGAUAUUGCCCCAGAUUAGUUUGUGGUUUUGUCUGCAAAAUGGAGCAUGUGCCUCGGGGAAGUGCCCAAGAGCCCUGUAUUAUAUACAAGAUAGUGUAGUUGUUUACUUUGUCUAAUUUUUAAUGAAAAUCAUUGUGCCUAUUUUACAUGCAUGUCUGAUUGUCUGGGUUUUGUUACAAGUGAAUUGAAAAUGCAGUAGUGAAAGUCUGGAUAUGGACAAUAUCCCACAGGGAUUAGAUUUUUGCAAGCCUUAUAGAGGGAAGAAAGUGUUAAAAACACUCAAACAUUGGAAAGUUUACGUGUUUGUUCUAAUUGUGAAUAUGAAGUUACCUUAGUAGCAACACAGAGUGUUCUACCAGUCUUCUUAUCCCAGCUAUUAUAAAACUGCCUUUAUUAACUCCUUAGUAUUUAUCUUCUUUGAUAUUUGGCAUCAAUACAAACUGCUAAAGUAUCAUGAAUUUCAGAAACAGGAGAUGCUGCAGCUGCAAUGAGAAAUUUAUCCUCUUCUUGGUCUAUGAUGCUCCAUUGGAACAACAGUCAUUUCCAUACUGAUAAUAAUAGCAUCAUAACAUCCUUACUUUUUAUCUCAAAUCACAGUUGGUAGUCACUUUAACAAAGCUGGCAGAUUAUAAAUUGAUCAUGAAGUAGAUGUCACCAAUAAAACUUAUUUUUUU